rnacentral:rRNA from 1 species
UUAAAUUGAAGAGUUUGAUCAUGGCUCAGAUUGAACGCUGGCGGCAGGCCUAACACAUGCAAGUCGAACGGUAACAGGAAGAAGCUUGCUUCUUUGCUGACGAGUGGCGGACGGGUGAGUAAUGUCUGGGAAACUGCCUGAUGGAGGGGGAUAACUACUGGAAACGGUAGCUAAUACCGCAUAACGUCGCAAGACCAAAGAGGGGGACCUUCGGGCCUCUUGCCAUCGGAUGUGCCCAGAUGGGAUUAGCUUGUUGGUGGGGUAACGGCUCACCAAGGCGACGAUCCCUAGCUGGUCUGAGAGGAUGACCAGCCACACUGGAACUGAGACACGGUCCAGACUCCUACGGGAGGCAGCAGUGGGGAAUAUUGCACAAUGGGCGCAAGCCUGAUGCAGCCAUGCCGCGUGUAUGAAGAAGGCCUUCGGGUUGUAAAGUACUUUCAGCGGGGAGGAAGGGAGUAAAGUUAAUACCUUUGCUCAUUGACGUUACCCGCAGAAGAAGCACCGGCUAACUCCGUGCCAGCAGCCGCGGUAAUACGGAGGGUGCAAGCGUUAAUCGGAAUUACUGGGCGUAAAGCGCACGCAGGCGGUUUGUUAAGUCAGAUGUGAAAUCCCCGGGCUCAACCUGGGAACUGCAUCUGAUACUGGCAAGCUUGAGUCUCGUAGAGGGGGGUAGAAUUCCAGGUGUAGCGGUGAAAUGCGUAGAGAUCUGGAGGAAUACCGGUGGCGAAGGCGGCCCCCUGGACGAAGACUGACGCUCAGGUGCGAAAGCGUGGGGAGCAAACAGGAUUAGAUACCCUGGUAGUCCACGCCGUAAACGAUGUCGACUUGGAGGUUGUGCCCUUGAGGCGUGGCUUCCGGAGCUAACGCGUUAAGUCGACCGCCUGGGGAGUACGGCCGCAAGGUUAAAACUCAAAUGAAUUGACGGGGGCCCGCACAAGCGGUGGAGCAUGUGGUUUAAUUCGAUGCAACGCGAAGAACCUUACCUGGUCUUGACAUCCACAGAACUUUCCAGAGAUGGAUUGGUGCCUUCGGGAACCGUGAGACAGGUGCUGCAUGGCUGUCGUCAGCUCGUGUUGUGAAAUGUUGGGUUAAGUCCCGCAACGAGCGCAACCCUUAUCCUUUGUUGCCAGCGGUCCGGCCGGGAACUCAAAGGAGACUGCCAGUGAUAAACUGGAGGAAGGUGGGGAUGACGUCAAGUCAUCAUGGCCCUUACGACCAGGGCUACACACGUGCUACAAUGGCGCAUACAAAGAGAAGCGACCUCGCGAGAGCAAGCGGACCUCAUAAAGUGCGUCGUAGUCCGGAUUGGAGUCUGCAACUCGACUCCAUGAAGUCGGAAUCGCUAGUAAUCGUGGAUCAGAAUGCCACGGUGAAUACGUUCCCGGGCCUUGUACACACCGCCCGUCACACCAUGGGAGUGGGUUGCAAAAGAAGUAGGUAGCUUAACCUUCGGGAGGGCGCUUACCACUUUGUGAUUCAUGACUGGGGUGAAGUCGUAACAAGGUAACCGUAGGGGAACCUGCGGUUGGAUCACCUCCUUACCUUAAAGAAGC